rnacentral:rRNA from 1 species
GAUGAACGCUGGCGGUAUGCCUAACACAUGCAAGUCGUACGAGAGUUUUUAACUCUAGUGGCGGACGGGUGAGUAACACGUGAGAAUUUGCCUUUAGGAGGGGAUAACAAUUGGAACGAAUGCUAAUACCCCAUAUGCUUUUGAGUGAAACGGAUUUAUCCGCCUAGAGAGAAGCUCGCGGCUGAUUAGCUUGUUGGUAAGGUAAGAACUUACCAAGGCGACGAUCAGUAUCUGGUUUGAGAGGACGAUCAGACACACUGGAACUGAGACACGGUCCAGACUCCUACGGGAGGCAGCAGUGGGGAAUUUUCCGCAAUGGGCGAAAGCCUGACGGAGCAAUACCGCGUGAGGGAAGAAUGCCUAUGGGUUGUAAACCUCUUUUUUCUAGGGAGGAAUAAAAUAGACGUGUACCUGAAGAAUAAGCAUCGGCUAACUCCGUG